rnacentral:rRNA from 1 species
CCUGCCCAGUGAAAUUAUUUAAACGGCCGCGGUAUCCUAACCGUGCAAAGGUAGCGCAAUCACUUGUCUCCUAAAUAGAGACUAGUAUGAACGGUUAAAUGAGGAUCAACCUGUCUCUUAUGGACAAUUAAUGAAACUGAACUUCCAGUACAAAUGCUGGAAUAAUCUUAUAAGACGAGAAGACCCUGUGGAACUUCAAACAAACCAUGAAACAACCAAUCGUACAUAGUUUUUAGUUGGGGCGACUUUGGAAACAAAAAAAACUUCCAAGCACAGGACCACAACUCCACAAAUACGGCUAACAAGCCAAAUUCUUAGCUCAGACCCGGAAUAAUCUUUUCCGAAAAACGAACCAAGCUACCCCAGGGAUAACAGCGCUAUCUUCUUUUAGAGUCCAUAUCAACAAGAAGGCUUACGACCUCGAUGUUGGAUCAGGACACCCAAAUGGUGCAGCCGCUAUUAAAGGUUCGUUUGUUCAACGAUUAAUAGUCCUACGUGAU